rnacentral:lncRNA from 1 species
GGGGGGAGGGGGGGGGCUGGGGAUAGGAUGAAAUUUGAAAAAAAAGCAGGACAGCAGUUUUGAGUGAAAAGGCAGGAUGAGCAAAAAGUAUUAUAAGCUUUUGAUUGCAUUUUAUGCGAUCUUUACCCAAAACCCGUAAGAUGAACCCGAAAUGAACAUACUGUCCAAAUUAAAGAAAAUUAAUAUUAGUUAACCAUGCUCAAUUCUUUGCGUUUAGCCAACAGGGACUUG